AUUGAACGCUGGCGGCAGGCCUAACACAUGCAAGUCGAACGAGUGGCGGACGGGUGAAUCAUGUAUGGGACACUGCCUGAUGGAGGGGGAUACCUACUGGAAACGGUAGCUAAUCCCGCAUACCAUCGGAUGUGCCCAGAUGGGAUUGGCUAGUAGGUGGGGUAAAGGCUCACCUAGGCGACGAUCCCUAGCUGGUCUGAGAGGAUGACCAGCAAACUUGGAACUGGGACACGGUCCAGACUCCAACGGGAGGCAGAAGUGGGGAAUAUUGGACAAGGGGCGAAAGCCGGAUGAAGCCAGGCCGCGUGUAGGAAGAAGGCCUCCGGGUUGUAAAGUACUUUCAGCGGGGAGGCGUUACCCGCAGAAGAAGCACCGGCUAACUCCGUGCCAGCCGCCGCGGUAAUAC
rnacentral:rRNA from 1 species